UUAUGCUCUGAAGCAGAACAUGUGUACCUCGCAGAUCCUGGCAAAUAGGUAUUGGAAACGCUGGGUAAACGAUUAUCUUCCGGAGAUUACCCGACGAUCCAAGUGGUUCCACGCAGUCAAACCCAUCGCUAUCGGAGAUAUCGUCGUCAUAGCCGAUCCGAAACUACCACGGAAUUGUUGGCCAAAAGGAAAGGUCAUAUCUACGUGUGUCAGCCGAGACGGCCAGAUACGAUCAGCGACCAUACGUACAGUUCGCGGGGUCUACGAGCGCCCUGUGGCUAAGUUAGCGAUCUUGGACGUUCAGCGCGUGGAGCAGUAAACCAACCGGAUGUUGGUGUACCCUGGGGGAGUGUUGGCCUAAGCCAGCGCGCGCAUCUAUCAUCAUAGUAUCUACAUCGUUCGCAACCCUGCGAUCGAGAAGACAUUACGUAUGACGUGAAAUGAAAUGACAGGUAUAUGACCUGGUAUUGGGUGAGUAGACAGAAAACAGAUAGAAAACGACGAACAAAUAGAAAGGUAGACAAAACGUUGCACUCUGAGCUUUGUAUUUGCUUAGACUAAAUAGAUAAAUCUAGCUUAAUUCUAGUUUUAUUAGUUGCUAGUGGGUAUAAUUAGUUGCUUGUGUACAACAUUGUUUCGCAACCGGUAACCUAAACUUAUUCCGCAACCUAUUGUCCACUCGCCAUACAUGCUACUCUAUGAACUAGGUGAGGUGAAGUAAUCGGACUUACGACUACCGUUUAUUUACUUGAACUGUGUUAAACUACGUGGAAUUGUACAAAGGGAACUAAACGUA